UUCAUGGAGAGUUUGAUCCUGGCUCAGGACGAACGCUGGCGGCGUGCCUAAUACAUGCAAGUCGAGCGGA
rnacentral:rRNA from 1 species